rnacentral:rRNA from 1 species
UAAGAGUUUGAUCAUGGCUCAGAACUAACGCUGGCGGCGUGCCUAACACAUGCAAGUCGAACGAGAAGCCCGCAAGGGUUGUAAAGUGGCGGACGGGUGCAUAACACGUGGGUAAUCUACCCUUUGGUCUGAGAUAACCUGCCGAAAGGCGGGCUAAUACCGGAUAAGACCACGGCUCUGAGGAGCUGUGGGAAAAGGCCCGCAAGGGUCGCCGAUCGAUGAGCCCGCGGCCUAUCAGGUAGUUGGUGAGGUAAUGGCUCACCAAGCCUACGACGGGUAGCUGGUCUGAGAGGACGACCAGCCACACUGGAACUGAGACACGGUCCAGACUCCUACGGGAGGCAGCAGUGGGGAAUAUUGCGCAAUGGGCGAAAGCCUGACGCAGCAACGCCGCGUGGGUGAUGAAGGCCUUCGGGUUGUAAAGCCCUGUCGACCGGGACGAACGUAGUCUGGCCCAAUACGCCGGGCUAUCGACUGUACCGGUGGAGGAAGCCACGGCUAACUCUGUGCCAGCCGCCGCGGUAAUUC